rnacentral:lncRNA from 1 species
UCAAUUCCAAAAGCCAAAAGGUCAGUUAGCUCUCUAAAUCCAUGGAAAUAAACCGUUAAUUGUGGCAUGUUGUGGCUGAAAAUUUUGCAUCUGACCUGUCCCUUGUUCCUCUCGAAAUGUGAAAUCUUCUAAUUUUGAUUUUUGAGACAAAUUUGAAUUGAGUUCUUCUGAUUCGAUGUGUCGAUCUCUUGUUAUACAAUUCGUACGUGUGAUAGAAUGCUGUGCUUCACUUCCUUUGCGUAUAAUUGCAAAUUUUUUGAGUUCUGUUUCUCAUGGAAUUUAGGUUUGUUUCCAAAGAGCAUAACUUAUUAAUUUGUACAGGAGCUUCUGAAAUAAUAAAGCUUCUUGCUUCACUCCCGAACCGAAUUUGGAGUUCAUUCUCUGACCAGUUUUUUUUUUUUUUAAUGGUUAAUUAGUUUUUUAUUGAGGCUUGGUUUGUUUGUGCAUGCCAUUUGUUUGCUUUCGUGCCCUCAUUUCAUUUGAGUUCAAAUGUUCUCCUUAUUCAUUUUGCGUGUCUCCAUUUUGUUUCCUGUUUACAAAGGAGAUGAAGAGUUAAGUUUGAAUUUACAAUUAGCUGCUGGUGAUCUAAUUUUCACUCUGUAAACAUCCAUGAACAAUGAACCUUAGGAGUUUUAAUGGAUUUAAUGAGGAUCUGUUGGCAUCAUUAUUGUCAAAAUCUGUCGUAUGGAAGCUUUUGCUCAGUUCUGUCUAGUAUAGUAAAUCAUGGAACUUCCCCUAAGAAGGCAAUUCACCAAGUUGACUUUCAGAUUUUUAAGUUGAAUAUUCUUACUGCAUUUUAUUUGGCUGCGUGCAUUAGGAUCGUUUACUUAAAACUUUUUGUUGUAGAGGUAGACAGAAUAUUGGCUUGGUGUGUGAUGAGGUGGUGAUGCAAAGACUUUAAAUCGAAAGAAAUGUCCGUCACUUUGCAAGANNNNNUUAAUUAAUUAANNNNNUGUGGACUAUUGGGUGACAAACUGCCUAAAGAAGAAAGCUUUCAACGCCCUGUUCAACGAGCUCGAAGAGAAACAACUAAAGGUGCUACCAGCACAGCCGCCAACAUAAGUUGCCUCUGAAAUUUUAAGAGCUUAUUGGUCCUAAAAAAAUUAUAUUUAGAUAUUUCUAUCAAAUGACAAAAAUUCGGUAUGUAGACAGUGUGCCUGAGAUAUAUAAUUUUUAAAUGAAAAUUGCUAAAGGGACUAAAGGCUGAUAAAAUGUUAAUAAAUAAUGCCUUGUAGUGUUAUAGUGUACGUUAAUUGAUGAUGUUAUAUAAUUUAUUUUAUUAGUGCUUUGUCACUUUUUUAAUCCAAAUAUCUAAAUGAAAAAUGCUGAAACGAUUUCCUACAAAGUACUACAAAGAUGACAAUGAGAUAGGAAAUUGAAACAACAUUUAUUUAUAAAAAUAAAAAAUUUGCAAACAAAAGGAUCUCACUAUGUAACCAUAUAUAUCAUUUUAUUGAAUUAUUAUUAGCCGGAGCAUCAUCAUGUUUUUCUUUUAUUCAAGGCUUAGUUAUAUAUAAUUAAUUAAGCAAUGGGAUCAACAAUUAAAGAUAAAACACGAGCUUUAGUAAUUUCUUGAACACCGUGUCCGUGACCUUCUCCAAAUUGGUACAUGCAUUGAGACAUCCUCGCCAAAUUCAUUGCAAUCCCAACAAAAACGUCGGACACGAAAUGUGGGUUUCCAAAUCGAUCACGGUUCAUCUUCAUCCAUGUCUGAGCAAUCAAAUCAUGUAUAUGUUCACGAGCCUCUCUCUCUGAGACUCCAGCUUCAUGCAUGUAACAUUGAAUUGAUUUAUGAACAUCUCCCCUCUUCAGCUCAUCCUAAUAAUUAAUUCAAUCAAACUUAUUGUCAACAACAUUAACAAUUAACUAAUUAUCUAAUAAUCAGAUUGUGAGUACUACAAUUUGUUAUGGAGAAUAUCCUAUACUGCUGAGAAUAAUUCCUCAACUAAUAAUAAGAAUAUAUUAUGUUGUGAGUGGAUAUGAGAUAUCUUCCAUAACAAAUUUAAUAUUAAAAAUGAAUUAAUUGUACCGAUGAUUUUCCCAAAUCGUCUGCAAGUCGUAGAAUUAUUGAUGACCAACGAAUUAUGUUGGGAUAAUCUUUCACGAAUUCCAAGCCCUCCGUUGUUAUUGGAUUUGCUGUAGAAGUGUAUGCAUGGACUAGAAUUACAGGUGCUGCUACCGAAAUCCAAGCAUUUUCCAUGUACUCUUGGAGUGUUGGUAUGUAGCCGUUGUCGUACCACUUGGCCUCCACUAAAUAUGUUUUGCAUAGAUUUGCCCACUGAAAGUUUUAUUUUUGUAUAUCGAAUUGAUUAAUAUAAUAUCAAAUACAAAAGCAUAAAUUAAAUUAAUUAAAGGGAAAUAAUUUCCAAGCACCUCAAGAAUAUUAUAAAUAUAAUUAGUCACCAUAAAUUUCUAAUAAUAUCUUGGCGCUAACUCAAAUUUUAGUUUUAUAUCAACCAGACAUUUUUUUAUUAACUCUAUUAGCUAUCAUUAAAUAAUUUAAGGUAAAAGACCNNNNNUUAAUUAAUUAANNNNNAUGAAAAGUGAGAAUACAUAAUUUUAAUUAUUUACCGAGAUUGUCACUUUCCCUCUAGUAGAAAUCAACGUUUAUUACCUCGUCCUAAUGUUUUCAUAAUGUCAUGUCCCAUCUAGAUAUAAAAAGUUAACAGAAUACUAAUUUUUUUUUCUUUCUUUGGAUGCACGGCCAUGGGAUUGCAAAGUCGAAGGGCAAGAAGAGUUUCAGAGACUAAUGGAUACCAAAACAUGCAGGCCAACAAGCUUGCUGUGGAGCCAAAGAAAGAUACCAAGGUUGGAGUGAACAGGAAGCCUGGUAAGAGGAUGGUUGAGAUCGAACCGAAGCUCAAUAUUGAAAUCAAGCUCUUGAAACUCGCAAAUAAGCUUGUUGAGCGCGAUUGCAACAAUACAGAGAUAGGUGAGACGCUCAAGUAGACUAGGAAGAAGUUAGAAGCCGAUUCGCUCACCCUCUUGCCAAACAACUCACGGAUUACCACCAUAUUUAUUUAGGCCUUUGUUUUGCUGUUUCAUAACUUUGAUUUCUUUUAUAUAUAAAAACUAAACUCCAGUUAUCCUUGCAUGAGAAUCACUUAUAUCAUCCACAAAAUGUCUCUUCAAAAAAAAAAAAAUCGACUAACUAGAUACCGUACUAACAGAGUGUAUGUGACAAGGAGAAGAAAGAAGAAACCAGCUUUGCCCUAUUGGAAAAUAAUCCGGCUCAAAAGAUUUUUUAUUUUUUUAUUUUUUUUUAAUAGCCUUGUUUUAUUAUGGUGGGCACUCUCAGGGUUGUCACUUUAAAUUACAGCAACUUAAAUAUAAACACUUGUUACUAUGUAUAAAAACUAAAUUAAAAAAACCUAUAUCUUCGCCAUUUUUUUUGUCAAAACUACUACUUAGAAAUUAUAUUUACCACAUUUUUAAUUUUAAUUUUUCUUCAUAGCUAUAUGCUUUUGUUUUUUCUUUUUCUUCUUUUUCCCUCACAUAAACUAUAACUGUUAACCACCUCACUCAAUACCAAACGAGGUCUUAAUAAUCUUGGUGAUGUUUUAAUCGGUAGAGAAAAGGAUAAGCCUUGUUUCCAAAUCCAAAUUUGUUCACCCAUUUAAAUUUAACAUCAGCAGGAAAUGUAGCAUAACAUGCAUUGUAGGGCUAAGAGUCAUGCUGGCACUCCCAAGGUGUAAAAUGAAUCUGCUCUAAAACUGAAACAUAGCAACCAGAAUUAACAUGCUGUACCAUCUGAAAGUAAAGCCACCUAAGUCGACCUACAACCAUCACUGAACUAGUUUGUUUGCAGCAUAUGUGGAUGUGCACAAACUGAAAACCGCAGUAAGAAGCUUUAUCAUUUGCAGGAACUUAAUAAGCUCAGAUUCUCAACAUUAAAAUGCACCUCAAGCUUUCUUCGAAAAGGCAAUUACAUUGAAGUUCAGUGAUUCAGGAUUUUUCUGGAUCAUGCCUUUUAUCACUUUAGCUGCAUCC